UCCUCACACCCCUCUAAUGGGAGGGCAGUUGGCCUCAGGUAGGCUCCCUGAGGGACAGAAGGACAUGUAGAGCAGGUGAGAGACUAUCCCAGACUCACAGGAAUGAGCUAUCUCUAUAGCAGAGCUUGCCUUGGAGGUGGCUCAGUUUAGAGAUGAUAGAUUUGGACCCCCUCUCACUGAUUUGAACAUUUUGCUCACUCAAAGUCCUUAUCUAUAAAAUGGGGAAACAGUGUCGUAAUACAGUAUGGCAUACUGUCUUUUUUGUCUGUUUUUUGUGGGAGAUGGUAGCUGGGGUUCAAGACCGAGUCUCUCUAUGUUUCCCUGGCUGUCCUACAACUUGUUCUGUAGACCAGGCUGGCCUUGGAGCUCACAGAGAUCCACCUGCCUCUGCAUCCUGAGUGCUGGGAUUAAAGGACUGUGCCAGCACUGAUGACAUACCAUCUUAAUUAGUAUAAACCUGGGCCUGGCCCAGAGCAAGCACUCCACAGUGAGCCUUAGCUAGGGAACACCACUCUUUUUCCUGGUGGCUGCAAGGCAGAUUCUGAAGUCACAAAAAGUACAAAGAAUGUUAUCAGCUACUGUGAGGACUCCUAGCUCUGCCAGAGAGUAGCAAAUCCACUCAGAUUCUCCAUCUCUAGGACCAUUUACCUCUGUCCUCUGUCCCCACAGUCAGCACUGGUGCACCAUGGGCCUAGGCCUCUAUUAUCUUCUCUGUAGUAGAAGCAGCUGGAACAUAGCCCUCCUAAAUCCCACACACACAUACCCUGUCCCAGCUGGACUCCAGGACACUGGGCUUGGUGCCUCCUCCCUGGCUAUACCCAAGACCCUGUCGGUGGUGCUAACCCUCAUCCUCCUCUGCCUCAACCCCACACGCCUGACCUCCACCGUCAACAUCUCCGAAGACCUCCUCAUCUCGGGGGAUGAAUUCUGAGCUCACGUUCUGGACGGCUGCCAGGAAAGAAGGAAGCGGCGUUGGUUUAAAGCAUCACACAAAAGGCCGCAGGUAAUUAUGUCUCUUUUAAGCUGCUAACAGGAUUGGCCGUUUGAUAAAUGGGAGGAUUUGAGGCUGUUUUGUCACUGACAAGCUGUUGUAAGAUCAUAUUGGAAGCUGAAGACAGUUUAUCUUCAUGUGUGUGGUGGGGAGAGGGGAAUUCUCCGUGGAUUUUACACCCUCUUCAAAUUAAUGUGAUUUCCUAGGCUGGUCCUGGGCACGGAGUGAGUGAUCGUUAUGACUUACCCCCUGAUUAGAUUACCUGGCUCAGUGGCCACCUCCAGCCCCUCUGGGUGCCCUGGAGCUUGCCAGGCCCCUCCCCAUGUGCCCCCUCCAGCUCUCCUGUACCUCAGGCCUCCCCCUGACCUCCCCACUCUCCUCUGCUAGCCUUUCUCUCGAAGGUCCAUCUGCUAAGCAAGCCCA
rnacentral:lncRNA from 1 species